UCAGAUGACGGCUCCAUGGCCGAUGCUCAGUUGGAGAUUCCUCCGAGUCAGUCUAUGGUCACCCCUCCCGCGUGACACGGCAUUGCCCGCGCUGAGAACCCAGUGGUGAAGAGCGUCUGGGGUAGCUGGAACGCGAUUUGGACUCUCUAGGGAGCUUUCAGAAAACUGCUGCAAAUAUUUCGCUCUCUUUCGGGUGGACUCAUCUAUUGCAAUACACCACUGGAGCCAAUGGCGUGGAAGCCGCAGCUGAAUUGGGCUUGCGUGACCCUCGCGGUUGCACACCUGGUGGCGGCACGUAUCAGCACGCGCCUUCCUGAGGCUACAAUGAUAUGCAUCGAGAACUGCGGCCAGUGCAAAAUAUGUACGGCGAGUACUUCAAUGGCCGCGAGUGUGCCGAGGAGUGCGUAAGCACCGUGGGCUACAUCCAGCCGGACUGCGACAUUGCUGACACCAUAGUGAAGUACCUACGCCGGAAGCCAUGAAACUGCCGGCGCUUCUUCCGACUGCCGAAGCUGGAAACGAAGCUAUGAGAAGCAAAGCUGCCAAGGUGUUCUAUCCGACACACGUAUGCUUGCCCCAGCGAGGAUAUACAUGCGUAUAUUGUAGAAAGUUCUGUAUUCUCAUUUUCGUCACGUUGCAGAGGAGACGGGGUUUCUAAUGAUUGUCUUGAAGUCACUUAGAAGCCAUUCAUACAAUUUGAUUCGCUACACAUUAUGAACGUGGUGUCUCUGCCAAUUAAGGUAGGAUGACUUGUAUUAGGAUGACUUUUUUUUCAACAAAGGCGAAG